rnacentral:lncRNA from 1 species
CAAAGCAGAGCUCUGGCAAAUUGAGCUUCACCCAAUCUUGUCCUGCAGAGAAGCCAAGUCUCCACUGAAUACAAAGAGACACACCCUUCUGCCUGGACGGUAUCAGUACCUUAACUACCUGGGAAUGUAGCCCAUUAGGUCUCAGCCUUAUUUUACCCAGUCACUAUUCAAGAUGGAGUCACUCUAGUUUGAAUGCCUCUGACAGUAAUGAAGAAGUAAACUCCGAGACAGCACAUGACUUCCCUCUGAUGACGUAAGGUUGCUGGGAGGACCAGCUCACUGACAGAUUAAAGUUACCAAGUUGAAGUGAUGAGCUUGAAUCCUUCUGCAGUCACACGUUUGGCCUAGCAGAGGUUGAAAUUUUUAAAAAAUGAAAUAGAACCACAAAGAAAAUAUCAGAACACAUUGCACUUAGUAAAGAUGGAGUCUCGCUAUGUUGCCCAGGCUGGACUUGAACUCCUGUACUCAAGCCAUCCUCCCGCCCCUGCCUCUUGAAGUGCUGGGAUUACACAUGAGAUGUGAUGGUUUUAUCAAGGAGAGUUCCCCUGCACAUACUCUCUUGCCUGCUGCCAUGUGAGACAUGACUUUGCUCUUCUUUCACCAUCUGCCAUGACUGUGAGGCCUCCUCAGCCAUGUGGAACGAACAAGGGGGAGUCUCCCUGCACAAGCUCUCUCUCUUUGCCUGCUGUCAUCCACCUAAGAUGUAACUUGCUCCUCCUUGCCUUCCACCAUGAUUGUGAGGCUUCCCCAGCCACGUGGAACGGUUCAAAUUUCCAUCUGGUGUCAUUUUUCUUCUACCUGAAGAAUUUUCUUGAAUAUUCCUUAUAGCAUAGGUCUGCUGGCAAUAAAUUAUCAGUUUUGGCUUGUCUGAAAGGCUUCUUCUCUGGUUUCCUGUUCUGACCUCCUCUCAACCAUGAAUGCCUAUACUGUGUUGGUGGCCCUGAUGAAGAAAUGUGCUUCUUCAUUUAGACCCAGGAUGGCUGACGGUUUUCUGAUUGAUUCGUAGCAAAACCUGGAAAGCUAGAUUGAGCGAUUUAAAGCCCAGGCCAAGUGCAGCAGCUUGCUUGAGUCCUGGUGGAAAAGGCCUUGUAUGGAAGCCCCAGGGACAACUUCCACCACUGAGGAAUUUUCAGUCUUCUGCAUCUGUCAAUCAACUGAACCAUUUAUAGCUGGUGUCUUCUUUUCUCGUGCCCAUAAGCCCUGUCACUGUUGAGCUGGGCCCACCUUAAGACUGAUGUCCUUUGCAAUUUCUGGGACUACUGCAAGUGCUCCUAACUGUCCUCCCUGCCUCCAGCCUUCCAACCUGCAGCCACUCGAGUUGCCUUCCUACACGUCAGAGCCGACCAUGCCAUUCUCCUGCUUAAAAACCCAUCUCACUGGCGGCUUCUUGAGGAUAAACCAUGUGUGAUGCUCUUAUAAGAAGCCACAAAUACCCUGUAUGGGAUGUCACAAAUAUUCAUCAGUAAGUGCUGACCAACUCAAAGGCUUAAAAUUCAACUCAUUGAUGAAUCACAGAAGAUCCAAUGACUGACUCAGAUCCACCCACUGUUCUUCAGUCCGUCUUACCCU